rnacentral:rRNA from 1 species
CCAGACUCCUACGGGAGGCAGCAGUGGGGAAUAUUGCACAAUGGGCGAAAGCCUGAUGCAGCAACGCCGCGUGAAGGAAGAAGGGUUUCGGCUCGUAAACUUCUAUCAACAGGGACGAAAGAAAUGACGGUACCUGAAUAAGAAGCCCCGGCUAACUACGUGCCAGCAGCCGCGGUAAUACGUAGGGGGCAAGCGUUAUCCGGAUUUACUGGGUGUAAAGGGAGCGUAGACGGCAGUGCAAGUCUGGAGUGAAAGGCGGGGGCUCAACCCCCGGACUGCUCUGGAAACUGUACGGCUGGAGUUGGAGAGAAGUACGCGGAAUGCGCGGUGUAGCGGCGAAAUGCAUAGAUAUCGCGCAGAACCCCGAUUGCGAAGGCAGCGUGCCGUGCCGCCACUGACGCUGAGGCACGAAAGCGCGGGGAUCGAACAGGAUUAGAUACCCCAGUA